UUUAAGUGCAGUCACGAGUUUCCAUGUCAAACUUUAAUCGUCUAUCUUAUUUAAAACUUUUUUAUGAUUAGUAUUUAUAUUAUUAUUAUAUUAUAAAAAAUGAAUAAUAUUUUGUGUGACUUAUGUUUUUUAAUAUUUUCAAAAAGUUCUCAAAUAAGGAAGACGAUCAAUGUUGAAAAAAAAAUUCAUGGCUGUGUUUAAA
rfam:Oryza meridionalis cultivar OR44 (W2112) chromosome 8, whole genome shotgun sequence.